CGGCCAUUAGCAGACCAUUCAGUCAACGGUUGGUGGAGUGGUGGUUGUCAGGCGGGGAGUGAGAGCUGCUCUGUCCUGCCUGCUGCCUGCCUGGUACCAUAGAGUCUUGUUGCUGUGUGGCUGGGGCGGGAGCUCUCACGUCUCGGGGCCUGCAGGCGUCCUGAAGAUGGACUGACCGCCAAGUGAGGGUUGUUGGCUUCUCGACAGGGGGAAGGAAUUCAAAGAGCCAGCCAAGGAAAAGCGAAGUUCAAGUUCAAGGGAAGUAGUGAUGCUCAUUGUCCUUGUAGGAGUUCACGUGGUAUGAAGAAGCACCGUGGGAAGAGUCUACCAGUAGCCACCACUGUCAGUAGUCUUAGGGCCUCUGGAUGAUUUUCUCCUUCAGCAGCACUACCUCCAAGCAGGUCCUGAGGAGACCAGCUCCAUCCGGCAUGAACUGGACACCACAAGGUCCCAAAGCUGAAGCCCCGUCAGGUCCUGAGGACCCCCAACUUCCAUUAGCGUUAACCCCACUCUCCUGUCUUUUCAUUCAUGUUUCUCCUUUAAUUUUUUCCCUCCUUCCCUCC